UGCAGGCAGCCUACUGCUGCCGGAGCGCACAAGUUCUGUGCUCAACUUCGCCGCUCUUAAAGAGAACCCGGAUCCCUCUGGAGAGGCCCUCGGGAGCUGGCGGCAGGGCUGGGAGAGGCAAUGAACACAGAGCUCUUUCCUGGCAUCACAAUGUACCUUUCCAAAGAGAGAGGAUGGUGUCUGAGGUAUAUUGCCACACAACACCCUUAUUAACAGGCUGCUGAUUGCUACAAUUUAUAUCAAUGAAGAGCGAUCCCUCUGAAAAGAAAUCUUGGUUUGUUUCCUGAAAGAAAAAAGAAAAGAAAAGAAGAAAGGAAAGAAGGAACAGAGAAAAGAAAACCUCGAGUUGAUAACUUUCAAUGUCUUAACUGACUCAAACUUUCAUGCCUUGGUUCAUCCAUAGCCUUCUACAUGUCAUCCCUGUUUACUCUGAAACCAUAGAUUUUGAUACAGGAGAGUUUUUAAUAUGUUAAUCAUGAAAGAUACAUUAAAACAAGGGCUUAUGGCAAAAAAAAUUUACAAACCAUCUUUCAUUUCAAGGACUGAGAAGGCUCAGGAAACUUACAGCAUGUAAUUGGAAUUUGUCAUCUCAGAGAUUUAAUUGACUCUACAUCAGACAAAUACAACACAUAAAACACAAUGAUGACAUUCAAAACUCUAUGAGAAGAAUUUAUUUUAUGGUCUCCAAGCAAUUAAAAACAUUUCUAGCAGAGCCAGCAAGAGAUGCUCUGCAGGCAAAGGCCCUGCUGCCAAGCUUGAGGACAUGAACCUGAUCCCCCAAACCACACAGUGGAAAUGAAUUGGCUCCUGAAGGUUGUCCUUCGACCAUCACAUAGCCAAGUAGCUCUGGCACGCACCCCUCCCCAAAUAUUUCCAAUGUGAAUGACACAGGCCUUUACAUGUGUAUCACAUCAAGGAUGUAUAUAGAUUUCACCUAAAGAAUAGAAAAUGAACUAUAAACAAAUGUCCAUCUCUAGUCAAUGAUAAGCAUGCAGUAGGACUGAGGGAAGAGUGAGUGCGGCUGUCUGUAACUUACACUGAAAUGAAUUUCAAAAGAUGAGUUGAUGAUAUACAAGAGAACAGACCAAUACAGAUGAAGGCAGGCAGAAUAACAUGUUAGUGGGAAAAUACAGUGGAGAAUACUUGACAUUCAUUGUAUACUCUUCCAAAUUUUCUGAUGUUCAAAAUUCUGGUAAUAAAAUUAAGGAGAAAAAAAAUCCUGAAAAGAUUUCUAAAAUGUUCAUAUUUGGAGGAGCUGGUCAAUGACUGUAUGUUUGUUAAAAACAAACAACAAAAAACCUCACAAUUCUUCUUAACAUUUGUGUAUAUUUGAGUAUUCCCACAAUAAA